UAAACCAAAAGCUUAGGUUAAACACCAAACCAGGGGCCUUCAAAGCCCCAAACAAGGGCCACAGACCCCUUAGCUUUUG
rnacentral:tRNA from 1 species